UUCAUAUAGUAUUCCCAACCACGUGUAUUUUAUUUGUUAAAACAGGUGUAAUCUUCAUUUAGCUUAAACUUUGGAUGUUUACCUCCCAUCUUUCUGAUUUCUCCUCGACUUAUUCUCUCGAUAUGUACUGCACUUUUUUAGUUUAGGUAAGUUUUCGUCUACAUUUCUUCGUCUAAUGCACCAAUUUAUUGAUAAUGAGAUUUUGAUGGUAUCUGUUAUUGUUAGUUUUUAGGAGUUUUGCACAGAUAUUUUCUACUUCAAUCAGCCACCAUAAUUUAACCAGAUUUUACAGUCAUGAUUAGAGAUUUUGAUAGCUUUUACAGUUCUUGAAAAGGUAAAAUACGUAUGCAAUCCCAUUUAAAAAUUUUGAUUCUUUUAACAUUUCUGCGAAUAUUUAUUUUGAACUAUAGUUUUCCUGUCGGAUAUUCUACAUGCAUGCUAUGUUGGUACAUGAUUUUCACACUGAUGUGUAUGGGGUGUUUGAUAAUAUGUCUGAAAUAAUUGACUCCUUAGCAGUCUCUUUUCAUUCGGAUGACGUCUCUGGAGAGAUUUGAGGAAUCCGAGAAGAUUGCAUUGUGUAUUGUUCUAGGGUUUUUUCACUGAUUUUGUAUAUGCAUGCACUCUCAUUCACUAUAUUUGUGUCAAUUGCACAGUCGUUAGAAAUUCUAAUAAGAUUAGAGACAUGCCCUGUGAAUAAAAUUUCCAAUAGUUAGUAAUGUAUUCAUGUUGUGUCAAUUAUUUUGAUGGCUUUUCAACUUACUUAUGAUUGAUAUUGUAGUUGACUAACUGAGCCUUACCCUUUUUGGCAAUGCAAUUUGUUCUAAUUUUAAGGUUUUUACUUUACAUAAAACAAUGACUAUUAAGCUCGUAGUAGUGGCAACAAAGGCUAAUGAAAUUCGGGGUGAUCAAGAUGAGUAGUACGCUACUCGAGUCCAUCUCUAGGAGCCUUAACAAGAAUGGUUGGAACCGGUCUGACCUAUGAGACUACUCGAGAGGAGGCUUCCUACUAGGAACUUUUAUACCUAGCUAUGUAAUUUUUAUUCGUCAAAAUAGUCCGAAACUAUGCUACUCUUGAUUUUCGCAUAUUAAGGUUAACUCUUCUCAGUACUUGACUUUUUCAUUUUUGUAUUUUCAAGUUGUUUUAGUUGCUCUAUGCCUGCAGUUUCAGUUAAGCUGGAAAGGCUUUUGAUUGUGGACAAGGAGUGACCAAACCUCGACACUGUGGUUUGUAGCCACGUGGUCUAAUCCUCUGAGCUACAAGCCCCACCAUAUUUUCGCUGGAUCUGUUCCGAAAGAAAGGGUACACAUGGAGCUACCAAGUUCCCUGAUGUAGCUAAUAGGUGUCUUGGAAAGUGUCGAUUAGACAUUUUGAAAAUCGAAUUGGCAGCAUAUCAGCAGGGAUGACUGUAUUCUUCAAGAAAGGUAUCGAGCAACGAAUUCUUCAAUGGAUAUUCUCAAGGUUAUUAUGGAAAUUACCACGUGCUAAUAGUAGCUCCAUAGAAAAGGGAAAUCUUGUGUUCCAAUAGAAGCAGAAACGUUGGGGAUUAUUCGAAUCUUUUAUUAACAUAUGAUGUUAUUUUGCCAACUCACAGGUGUGAGCGCUAUAUUACUAUGUUGAUAUCAGUCUAUUAAAAAGAAAAUAUAGAAAAUGUCUUCUGGAUAUUGUGCAGACUGUUGAUAAUUUACAUUUUCUCAAUUUAAAUAGUGAAUCUGAAGACACUUCACAUGGUAUACAAGACUGCCAAAGAGUACCUGGCAGCUUUCCUUUGCAAGGGUAUAGAUGCACUGACUAUAGUUCAUCCCCACCUACUUGUGGGGAUUCCAGUAGUUAUUCGUGAGCCAAUUAUGAAAGAUGGAAAAGACGGUCAUCUGAAUGGAGUGAUCGAGAUAACGAUGCACAAUUUAAUCGGGAUUCAGGUUCAGCUCAGAUUAUUCUAUGUAUUACUUUUCUGUAUGUGUGAUAAGCCUUUUUUAUUAUAUUUGAUUGCUUCAGAACUGCAGGCGUGGUUGAACUGCAUACAUUAUCUAAAAAGAAAAAAGAAAAAAUAAAGGAAGAUAGGAUCAAGUUAAUUUGGUAGUGGACUAUUAUCUCUCAUGCACAUCAUUCAUGAGAAACUUGUAAAACUUGUAGGAGAAACAAACUCCAUUGCCUCCCAAAAGAACAUACCCAAUGAAAUCCACAAGUGAGGUUUAAGGAGGGUAAAAUGUCCACAGACCUUACCACUAUCUCGCGGAGAUAUAAAGUAUGGGGAAAAGGAGAUAAAAUUGUCAAAUCCAACGGUUAUCCUCUUUCUUUGAUACUUUGUGUAAUGAAGUCAUGGAAAAUUGAACGGUUAACCGGGUGCAUUCAAAUAACCAAGAUAAUGUUAGGUUAUAGAAAGCCGUCAAAGCAGUAAGCUUAAGGAGCAGCCAUGGGUGCGUAUUUUCAAACAAUUCUUUUUUUCUUAAUUUUUAUUCAAUUUUUCAUCUUCUUCAAAUGAUUUAUGAAAGUAAUUUUGUGAUAUUUUGUUUGAUGUUGAUGUAGCUGUUUUUUUUUUUUUUUGGGUGAAAAUGCAGCUAGAAUAAAGGUACAUGAGAUGAGGAGCAAGUUGAAGAAGGAUCUGUUAGGUCAGUUGAAAGAUCUGAAGGCAGAGUGUGUGAUUAAACUUAAGUGGAUUCAAGUGCUUAAAUAAAACUCUUUACAUAAUACACAUUUUGUGUAUUAAAUGAUGUUGCUUCUUCAUUGGCAGCUACAACAUACUUUUACUAAUGCUAAUGGACUCUUAUUUGAAUGUGCAACACCGAUAGCCGGUAGGGAAUGUAAUUUAAGUUGUGCAAUUUCUUAAUCUGAGCUAGAACAACAAUUUAAUUUUGGCGAUGUUGGG
rnacentral:lncRNA from 1 species